rnacentral:lncRNA from 1 species
AAAGGUUAUAACCAUGUUUCAGUAGAAAUGAAACACUCCUCAUGUUCAAGUUUAGCAAAUUUACAAGCACUCAUAAUCUAGUGUUAUGUUUAUUUCUAGGUCUGAAAAACAAUCCUAAAUUCUCAUUUUUAAAUUUUUUUCUGGGACCACUCCUGGUCACACAUACUCUACCUGUCAAGUUCAGUCAGGAAAAGAGAAACUAAAGCAGCCCAUGCUGUGAGGGCCUGGCCACUUGUGCUCCCAUCACACUGCCACAGCCAUAACUGACAUGGCUUUUUAUUUUUUUCCUGCCUCAUAUCCAGGAAAGUUGCCUCCGUUUGACAAAGACUAAGUACAACUCUGUUGGCAAGAGAUAUUUGGAAAUGUAGUUUUCAGGCAUCCAGGCCUUACAGUUCAACAGAGAAGAAAGGAGGGUGAAAUGUGGCUGAGUAUGUACAGUACCCAAAACCACACAGUAAAUAAAAAAUCUGGUCCAGUGGCUGUCACUGUUACCAUCUUCUCUGAGCCUGAAAUCAAAUGUCAGUAUCUACCAAAGGAGGAGAAGAAUGUAAAAACUGGGAGUUUCCCUGGAGCUGGAAAUUAAGGAUGUGUAUUCCUGCCUUUUGCAUUCGUUAGUUGUACAGCCUCUGUGCCGUAUACAGAAUGGUGAGAAGAUUCACCUGCGAUACCUGAAUGUCAGAGGCGUUUCUUUCCACGGUCCGAAUGUUUGAACAUGUUAUUUUGUAUCACCUUUUGGUCAAUGAUAUUUGAAGAAGAUUCAUUGUUUGGCUUAUCUUUGUUUGCUGAG